rnacentral:rRNA from 1 species
AUAUCAAUAAGCGGAGGAAAAGAAACCAACAGGGAUUGCCUUAGUAACGGCGAGUGAAGCGGCAACAGCUCAAAUUUGAAAUCUGGCCCUCGGGUCCGAAUUGUAAUUUGUAGAGGAUGAUUUUGGUGCGGUAUCUUCCGAGUUCCUUGGAACAGGACGCCUUAGAGGGUGAGAGCCCCGUACGGUUGAAUGCCUAGCCUCUGUAAAUCUCCUUCGACGAGUCGAGUAGUUUGGGAAUGCUGCUCUAAAUGGGAGGUAAAUUUCUUCUAAAGCUAAAUAUUGGCCAGAGACCGAUAGCGCACAAGUAGAGUGAUCGAAAGAUGAAAAGCACUUUGAAAAGAGGGUUAAAUAGCACGUGAAAUUGUUGAAAGGGAAGGAUUUGUGACCAGACUUUUUCUGGGCGGAUCAUCCGGGGUUCUCUCCGGUGCACUUUGCCCAGUAAAGGCCAGCAUCGAUUUUCGGCGGCGGAUAAAAGCAGUGGGAAUGUGGCUCCCUACGGGGAGUGUUAUAGCCCAUUGUAUAAUACGCUGCUGGGGAUCGAGGUACGCGCUUCUGCAAGGAUGCUGGCGUAAUGGUUAUCAAUCACCCGUCUUGAAACACGGACCAAGGAGUCGAACAUUUAUGCGAGUGUUUGGGUGUUAAACCCUCACGCGUAAUGAAAGUGAACGGAGGUGAGAGCCCGUACGGGUGCAUCAUCGACCGAUCCUGAAGUUUUCGGAUGGAUUUGAGUAAGAGCAUAACUGUUCGGACCCGAAAGAUGGUGAACUAUGCGUGGAUAGGGUGAAGCCAGAGGAAACUCUGGUGGAGGCUCGCAGCGGUUCUGACGUGCAAAUCGAUCGUCAAAUCUGCGCAUGGGGGCGAAAGACUAAUCGAACCAUCUAGUAGCUGGUUA